UGCCCCUGGGAGCCCUCUCUCAUCUCUGACAGAUAACUGUGGGGUUUACUUCUCUCACCAGACAUUCCCAGCAAAGCACAGCUGAGGCGCCAUUGGCUUUGUGAGUUUGGAUUCCCCAUCAUCCAUUCCUCACAAGCUUCUUUCUGGGCCUACCGUGAGUCUUCAGCCUGUACCUGUCUGGAGUUCACUUGAGGGUGGAGUCUCUCUUCUCUCUCGGGAUCCCCCUUCAUUAUUUCUGGUGUCUCCCUCCGCUCUCAUACUUCAUUAAUCACUUUGGAAUUCUACAUAAUAAAUGGCCAGCUUGCUUCAGAAGAUGGAGAUGUGGAUCUGCGCAUGUACGGAACAGUGACGGUCCACACUGGAGGGAGAAAGCUGCCUCAGAGCUUGGACCUCAGUGGUCAAGAAUUUCUCAUCCACUCAUGGAGCUGCUUUGAGGAUCAAGAGAGAUAAUACACCUUAACGUGUUUGGGAUUCCUGUGAUAGAUGGUGUGAGAUAUGUGUUGGAGGUGAGCUCAGGUCUGGUCCCUGAUGAGACUCCACCUCAGGAUAUAAGUACCUGACUGACUCUGCCUGGGAUUCUCCAAGACAGUUCCCCAACUCGUUUCCCUUCCAACACGUUAACACACACACACACACACACACACACACACACACACACACACACACACACCAAUCCACACAUGCUCAAUGGCUUCUGGAGGAGAGAAAAGACAUGUGUUUAGCUGGUUGUGGUGGCACAUUUGUAACCCCAGCACUCAGUAGGUAGAGGAAGGCAGGAGGAUCAGGAGUUCAAAGUCAUCCUCCGUGACAUAACAUGUUGACUUCUAGCCUGUCUCAGAAGAAAACCCAAACCCAAAUAAACCGAAAUUAGGUCAAAGCACAACAACCCCUCCCUAUCGUAUAUUACUGAGUGCCUCUGUAUAUAAAUGUCCUAGAAACCAGGACAAAAUAGAUAAGCGAGAUAGUCACAACUGUCUGCAACUGUCUGUUCCAGGGGAGCCCUUGAGUGUUUUAUGACCUAUUGGUUCUGAGAGGACAGAACUGGAUGGCAGGCAAGCACUGACUUCGGUUCUUACUUUCGAAGGAAAUUUUAUGU